AGCGUAGGCGGCUUGGUGGGUCUGGUGUGAAAGCCCCGGGCUUAGCCCGGGAAGGGCGCUAGAAACUGCCGAGCUCGAGUGCCGGAGGGGAGAGUGGAAUUCCUGGUGUAGCGGUGAAAUGCGUAGAGAUCAGGAGGAAUACCGGUGGCGAAAGCGACUCUCUGGACGGCAACUGACGCUGAGGCACGAAAGCGUGGGGAGCAAGCA
rnacentral:rRNA from 1 species